rnacentral:lncRNA from 1 species
GUUUUUAGAAGGAAGAUCAGAAUUUUAUGCAGUAAUUGAUUGGGGCCUUUAAGAAAUGAUUUAACUAUUUUCUUGGGAAGAGAUGCUCUCCAGAAGUCUGCUGCGACCCAUAAGAAGGUGCAAUCCUCCUUUUUGAGCAAACAAAUGGUGCACUACUUACAAAGGAGGUGAGCAAUCUAUACUAUAUUCACUGCUGGUCUACAUGGAUGUCAAUGUAUAUGGUUCAGUACAAAGAUCAGUAAGGGUAGAUGUUCCAUAUUGUGUGCUGGCGGAUCACAUUGCAGCUCAAUGAAAUGGCUUGUUGGAGAAUGGGGGGAACCAGAAUCGACACACAUGGAAUACACCUGCAUGCUCAAGUUAUUGGAUCGGCAAGUAGUAUCUUUUUCAUACAAUUGGGCCUCUUCUUUAUUUUGUUUCAUUGUUAGUUUAGACUUCUUGAAGCUUUUUCAGUUGGUGAUAGCCUAAUGCUCAGAAGGAUACGGCAGUCGGAUCUCUCCAUCUCGCUUUCUAGAAAUAUUUGUUCUUUCCAGAUUGUGUUGUUCUUAGCACCUGGCUGUUGAAUUUAUUAUUGUUAUUAUUGUUAGAAGAAAUAGUGAGAUGGGUAAUAAAUGCCAAAUAUGCAUGGACCAGAUGCUAGUGUGGGCUUUAUCUUUGACUGUUGAAUUUAUUAUUGUUAUUGUUAGAAGAAAUGGUGAGAGAUGGGUAAUAAAUGCCAAAUAUGCAUAUGGACCAGAUUCUAGUGUGAGCUUUUGUCUUUGCCUUUUCUUUAUGUGGAUCAGCCUUGAUAGUGAGAUGGAAAGCAUUGUGCAAGUACAAAAUGCAGGACCCCCUUUCCCCUUCUCCUUCACACAUUCAUUCUCCCCCCUCAUAGUUUGUCACUGUGUGUUUGUGGGAUCCAUGUACCAGUCUUAUCCUUUCUAUCUUUCUAGGUUAUGAAUGGCCCUUAUUUUUCUCAUCUGUUUUCUCUGGAGAGUCUCUGUAGUGGGAAAGGAUAGUACAGCACAUCUCUUAUAUAUUUCAACUUUUAUGAUAAUUCAUUGAACAAAAUCUUAUUCUUUUGGAUAAGAGUCUUGAGGAGCCUGCUAUAUUAUCUGUAUGCUGCUGCAUUCUUGAUCUGUAUUGAGUAGAAUUCAAAGUGGGACCAAAUCACCAGCGGAUUGGUUUGAUGAUUUGGUUUUCAAGGAGGAGCAACUCAAAUGGUUCUAUUUGUGUAUGUUAUAUAUAUUUUCUUCUAUAUAACUGGUAUGUAAUAAUGAAGAGAAAUCUGCCUUCUGUGUUGAUAUUUUCUGUGUCAGGAUAAGGUAAAAAAGUAAAACCCUAUUUUAUCAAAGUGGGAUCUGAGUAUGCAAACUGAAUGAGUGAUGGGAAGCAAGACUUCCCUUUUCUUUUUUGUCUAUUAAACAUUUGUAGGAUAAGUGGGCCUGACCCCAUUUUGCUUCUCCUCCCAUUAGCAGUUAGCCACCUCAUUCUAUCUACUCUUCAUAUUUGCAAGAUGUUUGAUAAAUAAGUAUUGCUUAUUUGCCAAUUUUUGACUGCCAAAAUCUUUUAAAUGAGUAACAGACUUCGCUGUCAACACAAAAAAACUGUGUGCCCUUGGGAAGG